CAGUCGAACGCGUCUUGGCCAAUGAUUUCAGGUGCUUGCACUUGAAAGAUUUGACAUUGAGACGAGUGGCGAACUGGUGAGUAACACGUGGGUAACCUGCCCUUGAAGUAGGGGAUAACACUUGGAAACAGGUGCUAAUACCGUAUAACAACCAAAACCACCUGGUUUUGGUUUAAAAGACGGCUUCGGCUGUCACUUUAGGAUGGACCCGCGGCGUAUUAGCUUGUUGGUAAGGUAACGGCCUACCAAGGCAAUGAUACGUAGCCGACCUGAGAGGGUAAUCGGCCACAUUGGGACUGAGACACGGCCCAAACUCCUACGGGAGGCAGCAGUAGGGAAUCUUCCACAAUGGACGAAAGUCUGAUGGAGCAACGCCGCGUGAGUGAUGAAGGGUUUCGGCUCGUAAAACUCUGUUGUUGGAGAAGAACCGUUGUCAGAGCAACUGUUGACAGCUUGACGGUAUCCAACCAGAAAGCCACGGCUAACUACGUGCCAGCAGCCGCGGUAAUACGUAGGUGGCAAGCGUUGUCCGGAUUUAUUGGGCGUAAAGCGAGCGCAGGCGGUUUUUUAGGUCUGAUGUGAAAGCCUUCGGCUUAACCGGAGAAGUGCAUCGGAAACCGGGA
rnacentral:rRNA from 2 species